rnacentral:rRNA from 1 species
UGCGGUUAGACUAAGCCCUUUUUGUACGAUAAGGAUUGUUUACUAUAUUAGAGCUCAGCUUAAAAUGGUAGAAAAUAAAACUAUAUCACAUAAAUACUCUAAACAAAAAGCAGGUAAUAAAAUAGGAUUAGAUACCCUAGUAUUUUUGUAGACCACACCUUAUCACUAAAUUUAAAAUAAGAAUAUUUGGCGGCUUUAAGUUAUUAGAGGGGCUUGUCGAUAAACGAUACUCCGCGUUUAGUUAUACUUAAUUUAAUUUUGUAUACCUUCAUAUAGGUUGUCUUUUAUAGCUAAUAACUUAAAAAAAUAGAUCAAGGUGCAGAAAUUUUUAAGCUAGAUUAGCCACAAUACUUACCAGUAAACGAAAAAUUAAGCUAUCAGGUGGAUUUAACUUUAACUACUAUACUUGUGAAUUAGUGACUUAAAGGUCAGAUC